rfam:Marine metagenome HOTS_Contig40610, whole genome shotgun sequence.
UAAGUCAUCCGUGUCGAAGGCGUAGCGAGCCACGACAGCCCCGAGUCAUGCGUCGUUGCGGGUAACCGCAGGGGCGAAGCGUUGACAGGGGGAGGUGUAGGUCCGGUUAUGAGCCGCGAAAGACAUGAACCACUUUUGGGGGCCGAGACGCUGGAGUACGAGCGAAGGCUACAUCCGACGCCGCGAUAUCGCGAGUGGCGUCGGGCCCUGGCGCGGUCAGAGACCC